rnacentral:lncRNA from 1 species
CCGGAGCCCCCAACACCCACUGCACAUAGUCAUGUGGCUGUGGCACGCUGCUGAGUUGUGUGCACAAGCACACCAGUGCACUAGGGCCUGUGUGUUCUUUUAGAUUUAAUUUACUUCUGCCUUCUCCCUUCAUGGAUUAGGAGACUGUCCUUUUGUUUGUCAGGAGAGUUUGAAGUGACAAAUCUUCCUAUUCAUUAAGAUCAGUGUAACUGUAAGUAGAGACGAGGAUUCACUGUGUUAGCCAGGAUGGUCUCGAUCUCCUGACCUCGUGAUCCACCUACCUCGGCCUCCCAAAGUGUGGGGAUUACAGGUGUGAGCCACCAUGCCUGGCCAAGGGGGAGACAUUUUUUUAAAAAUUGAGAUUAUUCACCUUAAGUGAUUUCAGUUUGUAAAUGAUCAGUGGAUAAAAUCACAGAAAAUUAUCAAAUUUCCUUGGGAAAGUUUUGAUCCGAGUGCUUUUUUGGUACCACGAGACCCGGCUCUCUGCCAGCAUCAACCACUCACACCCCAGGGGGAUGAGCUCUCCAAGCCCAGGAUUCUGGCAAGAGAGGUGAAGAAAGUGGAUGUGCAGAGUUUGGCUGGGGAAGAGGACAUGCUCCUGAGCAAAAGCCCAUCCUCACUCAGCGCUAACAUCAGCAGCAGCCCAAAAGAGAUGGUGCUUCGCCAUGUUUCCCAGGCUGGGCUCGAACUCCUGCACCCAAGUGAACCUCCUGCUUCGGCCUCCUAAACUGCUGGGAUUACAGGUGUGAGCCACUGUGCCUGGCCCAAAACUAUUUUCAUAAAAAUACUAAGACAAUAUGUGCCUUUUCACUUUUAUUCUCUCACAGAUGUACAAUGGUGUAAGAGACAACAUGACGUGGAAUAAUAUCGUCACUUUGACAGUGAAGAUCUGUGCUAAUGUAUUGUACUUUUUCAUGCCUCAGUUUUAGUUUCUAAUACAGGAAAUAUUGAUAGAUAAAAUUCACAUAAAAGUUCUAAAGGUUCUCAAUAAUUUUUAAAGGUAUAAAAGGGGGUAGGGGUAAGAGGCUAUAACCAAAAAGUUUAAAGCCUUACAGGAUUUUUGUGAGACAUAGAGGUAACA